AGUGAACGCUGGCGGUAGGCCUAACACAUGCAAGUCGAACGGCAGCACAGUAUGAGCUUGCUCUUACGGGUGGCGAGUGGCGGACGGGUGAGGAAUACAUCGGAAUCUACUUUUUCGUGGGGGAUAACGUAGGGAAACUUACGCUAAUACCGCAUACGACCUACGGGUGAAAGCAGGGGAUCUUCGGACCUUGCGCGAUUGAAUGAGCCGAUGUCGGAUUAGCUAGUUGGCGGGGUAAAGGCCCACCAAGGCGACGAUCCGUAGCUGGUCUGAGAGGAGGAUCAGCCACACUGGAACUGGGACACGGUCCAGACUCCUACGGGAGGCAGCAGUGGGGAAUAUUGGACAAUGGGCGCAAGCCUGAUCCAGCCAUACCGCGUGGGUGAAGAAGGCCUUCGGGUUGUAAAGCCCUUUUGUUGGGAAAGAAAAGCAGCAGGUUAAUACCCCGCUGUUCUGACGGUACCCAAAGAAUAAGCACCGGCUAACUUCGUG
rnacentral:rRNA from 1 species